GGGUUGUGAGGUUAAGCGACUAAGCGUACACGGUGGAUGCCCUGGCAGUCAGAGGCGAUGAAGGGCGUGCUAAUCUGCGAUAAGCGCCGGUAAGGUGAUAUGAACCGUUAUAACCGGCGAUACCCGAAUGGGGAAACCCAGUGUGAUUCGUCACACUAUCAUUAACUGAAUCCAUAGGUUAAUGAGGCGAACCGGGGGAACUGAAACAUCUAAGUACCCCGAGGAAAAGAAAUCAACCGAGAUUCCCCCAGUAGCGGCGAGCGAACGGGGAGGAGCCCAGAGCCUGAAUCAGCAUGUGUGUUAGUGGAAGCGUCUGGAAAGGCGCGCGAUACAGGGUGACAGCCCCGUACACAAAAGCGCAUGUGCUGUGAGCUCGAUGAGUAGGGCGGGACACGUGGUAUCCUGUCUGAAUAUGGGGGGACCAUCCUCCAAGGCUAAAUACUCCUGACUGACCGAUAGUGAACCAGUACCGUGAGGGAAAGGCGAAAAGAACCCCGGCGAGGGGAGUGAAAAAGAACCUGAAACCGUGUACGUACAAGCAGUGGGAGCNNNNNNNNNNNNNNNNNNNNNNNNNNNNNNGGGCGUUAAGUUGCAGGGUAUAGACCCGAAACCCGGUGAUCUAGCCAUGGGCAGGUUGAAGGUUGGGUAACACUAACUGGAGGACCGAACCGACUAAUGUUGAAAAAUUAGCGGAUGACCUGUGGCUGGGGGUGAAAGGCCAAUCAAACCGGGAGAUAGCUGGUUCUCCCCGAAAGCUAUUUAGGUAGCGCCUCGUGAAUUCAUCUCCGGGGGUAGAGCACUGUUUCGGCUAGGGGGCCAUCCCGGCUUACCAACCCGAUGCAAACUGCGAAUACCGGAGAAUGUUAUCACGGGAGACACACGGCGGGUGCUAACGUCCGUCGUGAAGAGGGAAACAACCCAGACCGCCAGCUAAGGUCCCAAAGUCAUGGUUAAGUGGGAAACGAUGUGGGAAGGCCCAGACAGCCAGGAUGUUGGCUUAGAAGCAGCCAUCAUUUAAAGAAAGCGUAAUAGCUCACUGGUCGAGUCGGCCUGCGCGGAAGAUGUAACGGGGCUAAACCAUGCACCGAAGCUGCGGCAGCGACACUGUGUGUUGUUGGGUAGGGGAGCGUUCUGUAAGCCUGCGAAGGUGGCCUGUGAGGGUUGCUGGAGGUAUCAGAAGUGCGAAUGCUGACAUAAGUAACGAUAAAGCGGGUGAAAAGCCCGCUCGCCGGAAGACCAAGGGUUCCUGUCCAACGUUAAUCGGGGCAGGGUGAGUCGACCCCUAAGGCGAGGCCGAAAGGCGUAGUCGAUGGGAAACGGGUUAAUAUUCCCGUACUUGGUGUUACUGCGAAGGGGGGACGGAGAAGGCUAUGUUGGCCGGGCGACGGUUGUCCCGGUUUAAGCGUGUAGGUGUGUGUUCCAGGUAAAUCCGGUUCACUUUAACACUGAGGCGUGACGACGAGGCACUACGGUGCUGAAGCAACAAAUGCCCUGCUUCCAGGAAAAGCCUCUAAGCAUCAGGUAACAUCAAAUCGUACCCCAAACCGACACAGGUGGUCAGGUAGAGAAUACCAAGGCGCUUGAGAGAACUCGGGUGAAGGAACUAGGCAAAAUGGUGCCGUAACUUCGGGAGAAGGCACGCUGACACGUAGGUGAAGUGAUUUACUCAUGGAGCUGAAGUCAGUCGAAGAUACCAGCUGGCUGCAACUGUUUAUUAAAAACACAGCACUGUGCAAACACGAAAGUGGACGUAUACGGUGUGACGCCUGCCCGGUGCCGGAAGGUUAAUUGAUGGGGUCAGCGCAAGCGAAGCUCCUGAUCGAAGCCCCGGUAAACGGCGGCCGUAACUAUAACGGUCCUAAGGUAGCGAAAUUCCUUGUCGGGUAAGUUCCGACCUGCACGAAUGGCGUAAUGAUGGCCAGGCUGUCUCCACCCGAGACUCAGUGAAAUUGAACUCGCUGUGAAGAUGCAGUGUACCCGCGGCAAGACGGAAAGACCCCGUGAACCUUUACUAUAGCUUGACACUGAACAUUGAGCCUUGAUGUGUAGGAUAGGUGGGAGGCUUUGAAGUGUGGACGCCAGUCUGCAUGGAGCCGACCUUGAAAUACCACCCUUUAAUGUUUGAUGUUCUAACGUGGACCCGUUACCCGGGUUGCGGACAGUGUCUGGUGGGUAGUUUGACUGGGGCGGUCUCCUCCUAAAGAGUAACGGAGGAGCACGAAGGUUGGCUAAUCCUGGUCGGACAUCAGGAGGUUAGUGCAAUGGCAUAAGCCAGCUUGACUGCGAGCGUGACGGCGCGAGCAGGUGCGAAAGCAGGUCAUAGUGAUCCGGUGGUUCUGAAUGGAAGGGCCAUCGCUCAACGGAUAAAAGGUACUCCGGGGAUAACAGGCUGAUACCGCCCAAGAGUUCAUAUCGACGGCGGUGUUUGGCACCUCGAUGUCGGCUCAUCACAUCCUGGGGCUGAAGUAGGUCCCAAGGGUAUGGCUGUUCGCCAUUUAAAGUGGUACGCGAGCUGGGUUUAGAACGUCGUGAGACAGUUCGGUCCCUAUCUGCCGUGGGCGCUGGAGAACUGAGGGGGGCUGCUCCUAGUACGAGAGGACCGGAGUGGACGCAUCACUGGUGUUCGGGUUGUCAUGCCAAUGGCACUGCCCGGUAGCUAAAUGCGGAAGAGAUAAGUGCUGAAAGCAUCUAAGCACGAAACUUGCCCCGAGAUGAGUUCUCCCUGAGACUUAGAGUCUCCUGAAGGAACGUUGAAGACGACGACGUUGAUAGGCCGGGUGUGUAAGCGCAGCGAUGCGUUGAGCUAACCGGUACUAAUGAACCGUGAGGCUUAACCUUACAACGCCGAAG
rnacentral:rRNA from 1 species